rnacentral:rRNA from 1 species
ACACACCAAAAAAACCCGCCCCACAGGAAAAUGAAGGAAAACCGGAUCAACUCCCCUCCUCUCGAUCCCCUCCAUCUUCGUGACGUACGAAGCCGCACGAGAUCGCCCCCGCUGACGACCUCAUAGAGAAGACGCUGCGAUCUCUUGCGAUCUCGCCGCCACCGGGAUCGGCGUCUCUCGCCGCCACCGACCUCCGGGAUUGACGUCUCUCGCUACCGCCGAGGUACGGGAUCCCGCAUCAUACCAGAGGAGACACUGUCUACGUAGUCCGGGAUCGACGCCGCGGACGUAAGGGAUCACCGUCGCCGACCUUCCAGACGAGAUGUCGCCGCCGCCGACCUCUGAGGGGAGACGCCGCCGCCACCUGUGGUAAACCCUAGGACAGGGCGGUUUCAACUUUCAACCCCAGGGCAGGCCGACAACUUGUCGAUUUGUUGUUCUUCCCUUAUAAGAUCCUUGAGGAUAGGUGCGGUAACUAGCGACACAUGCUGGAGCUUCUAGCGGCGGCAUUACCUGUAUCCACCUCUCCCUGGUCGCCUUUAAGAGUGUGUGCGGCCGACCGUUAAGCUUGUCAUGACGCUCUUUGAAUUUCUGGGCAAGUCGCAGCCUUUUCAGAUUCAUCAACACAAGUUACAUCAGUAGUCAAUAUGGUUCAGAUGCAUAAUAUUGCGGGGUGGAAGUUGUCGAUGUUGUUCAAUUGUAUGCUGCCCCUUGAGGGGAAGUCGUGCGUGCGCCCAGUGAGGAGAAGCGGCAAGGGCUCCAGGUGUGAGAGGCUGAAGCUCGGGGACGACGACAUCAUGCACAAGAGGGCAUAUAGGAGGUUGUCCGAAUUCAUGUUCCUCAUGCUCUGAAGGACCAAAGGGAUUUGGGUGGUCAACUCUGAAACUUGGAAUUGUCGUUUCUUUUCUGAAAAAUCUGAACUUCUGCAUAUGUCUCACCCCUGAACUUUGCCGCUUGACUUGAUUGUGCCCAGUUAAAAUGGAUGAGAAGGCCCGUCUAGGUGUACUCGUGUCACAUGUGUAAGAUUGUCAAAAAUUGAUUUUUUUGUGUGUGGUCUCUUUACUCCCCCGCCUACCUCAAUGGCAGAUGUGAAGAACCACCUCAAUCAGAUGUGCUUUGCCGCGUCAUGCUAGAACUAUAAUUGCCGGCUGCCGUGCAAAACCAUCUUUGGCGAUCAAGCUGGAGCCAUCAUUGACCACGACCGUGCCAGGAGCACCGGGGAAAAGGCGAGGACAUGUUGGUACUGAUGGAAUAAUGUGGAUUGGGUCGUCCUCCUCCAGAAACAUAUUACACAAUAUACUUAAGUCGAUUGAUCCUAUUCGGAUAUGUCGUGAAAAAUGAUCCAGAUGCUAUUAAAGUUGUAACCUUUGACUGUCCAUGAUAUGGUUGCUCUUGCUUCAUCUAAAUAGUACGUCUGGACUGCCAUGAGACCGCGAUUGGUGUAGGAAAUCUUAAAAGCUAUCAUAUUGGUCACAAGAACUUGCAAUACAUCAAUGCACUAUUCUUUUGAAUUUUUUAGUGACACCACAACUACCACCUCUUCACUAAAUGACAGAGGUUGCUAGCAACUGCACUUGGAAAGAUUGAAUUUAGAGGGAGCAUCAACUACAUGUUAUGUCAGGCUUGACCAUAUCAGGUGAAGGGAGUGACAAGCAAGUACUUUGUUGACAAUGAGGAGAAGACAAGCAAUAUGAUCCUUGAGGUCAGGUCCGGCAUUACCUAUAUGGACCUCUCCCUGGUCGCCUUCAAGAGUGUGUGCGGGCUUGCCCGGCGACAGGAAAAGCACAAGCUUCAGAGCCACAAUCACCGGCUGCACCGCGGGCUUUCCCGGCGACAGCGUCUCCUAUGGUGGUGAGGAGGGAGGGAGGGUUAGGCUGCCGGGAGGGGCGGCGCGUGGGAGGGAGGCUGUGUCCACAUGUGCAAACAGGUGAACUAAUAAAGGAAGACUUCUUCCAUAAAUAGUAGUACAUUUACUAUGCAGAUGAUUUGACAAAAAGAUGGCCCUGCUCAUCGGGCUCAAGCAGCAGCGAGCAAGGCCAGCGACAACGGAAAUGUUGUGGCUGGCGCCCAUGCACCUCUACCUGACUUCAAUGCACCUUUGUGUUUUGUGAGUAUAUAGAGAUAAUAAUACGCAGAUUCAGUUAUCUAUAUGCAGAAAGUUUCCUUGUUUUCUUUUAGUAAUUAUGUAGAACAUCAAUAUUCAAUAUUAGAUGACACAUAGGCCACAUCAUCCAGUAAAUGUGUUAAUCAUAAUAAAUCAUGGACGGUUGCUGACAUUGGAUAUUCAUAGAAUGCUAAUAAGUUACAUCCUCGAGUAAUAUGAGAGUAUUUAGAUUUUGGUGGAGCUAAACUAUACAACAUGAUGCACAAAUUCUUGUUGAUUGCAGCAUUUUAAAAUGUCGACAAUUCCCAGGUUUGCAUUUAUUUGGUGGUGUGCCUGUGGAACUUUGUGAGAACUUGAGUAUUACGAGUAUACCAUUUCUGUAGGUAAUCAUUUUCCAACAACCUGAUGGUUUGUGCAGACCAUCAGGUACAUAAUAGCAAUAUCUUAACUAUUUUAAUAUUCUUUACGAACCAUCGUCAAAGAAUACAAGAUAUACUUAUUGUUAGUUCUUCGUUGACACCUACUGUUCUUACUGAACUGUAAUUGUUAACAAUAUGUAGUACUGUAGGAUUAAUGGACAGAAGGUUCUGUUGUCCAGUUGAUGCUACUAAUUUUGGCCCUACCAAAGUAUCUCUUCUGCAUGAUAUAUACUUAUUGUUAGUUCUUCGUUGACACCUACUAUUCUUACUGAACUGUAAUUGUUAACAAUAUGUAGUACUGUGGGAUCAAUGGACGUAAGGUUCUGUUGUCCAGUUGAUGCUACUAAUUUUGGCCCUACCAAAGUAUCUCUUUUGCAUGAUAUCUUCUUAAAUAUGAAAAUGAGGAAGUCAGUAUCUCGGCAGCAUGCAGGCAACUUAGCCAAUGAUGUAGGAGGAUCCAGUUCUUUUGGAGUCAAAUUUUUGGACUGGUAGUGUAUAUUCUGAAUUAUUUUGUAAACAAAUGUGAGGAGUGGGAGACGUCUGCAGUUGUAAAAUUUACUUGUGCGGGUGGAGGUUCUGGUUUUAAGAUCGUAUUGUUAUUUAUCAUUUUCCGUUGUAAUUGUUUACUAAUUAUGACAUGCUUUUUCUUUCUUCUGGGUAUGAACCAUUAUUUUUGGAUUCACUGGAACAAGAUGGAAGAGCUAACAGUUGUUUUACACCAGUACAAAUGCUCUUCAGAGGUGGGGGCAUUAAAGAGUAGAUGAACUGGGCUGAGGCCCUCGUGGCUACGCUCGAAGUUGAGAACAACAAGGAGAUGGGGAUGAAUGGAGCGGUCUUAAAGGAGAAACUACAACAUUUUGCUAUCAUUUUUUUACUGAUUUGUUGAAAUGUUAAAAUGUGGAUGUUGUAAGUCCAUGAUAUGAAGUUUGUGUUUGAGUCAAGUACUAUUGUGCGCAUGGAUCUUCUUAUGCUGACCAUCUUGAAAUGGAGAUUGCAGGCCUUGUCUCAGUUUACUUUCGUCAUCACCUACUUUCCGAAGAAGUUUGGUGAUGGAAGCCAUCGAGUUUUGUACUUAUCUUAUAUGCGGACAUCAUUGUUGUUACUACAGAAGUUCCAUUAA